rnacentral:rRNA from 2 species
UUGGUGUUACUGCGAAGGGGGGACGGAGAAGGCUAUGUUGGCCGGGCGACGGUUGUCCCGGUUUAAGCGUGUAGGUGUGUGUUCCAGGUAAAUCCGGUUCACUUUAACACUGAGGCGUGACGACGAGGCACUACGGUGCUGAAGCAACAAAUGCCCUGCUUCCAGGAAAAGCCUCUAAGCAUCAGGUAACACGAAAUCGUACCCCAAACCGACACAGGUGGUCAGGUAGAGAAUACCAAGGCGCUUGAGAGAACUCGGGUGAAGGAACUAGGCAAAAUGGUGCCGUAACUUCGGGAGAAGGCACGCUGACACGUAGGUGAAGUGAUUUACUCAUGGAGCUGAAGUCAGUCGAAGAUACCAGCUGGCUGCAACUGUUUAUUAAAAACACAGCACUGUGCAAACACGAAAGUGGACGUAUACGGUGUGACGCCUGCCCGGUGCCGGAAGGUUAAUUGAUGGGGUCAGCGCAAGCGAAGCUCCUGAUCGAAGCCCCGGUAAACGGCGGCCGUAACUAUAACGGUCCUAAGGUAGCGAAAUUCCUUGUCGGGUAAGUUCCGACCUGCACGAAUGGCGUAAUGAUGGCCAGGCUGUCUCCACCCGAGACUCAGUGAAAUUGAACUCGCUGUGAAGAUGCAGUGUACCCGCGGCAAGACGGAAAGACCCCGUGAACCUUUACUAUAGCUUGACACUGAACAUUGAGCCUUGAUGUGUAGGAUAGGUGGGAGGCUUUGAAGUGUGGACGCCAGUCUGCAUGGAGCCGACCUUGAAAUACCACCCUUUAAUGUUUGAUGUUCUAACGUGGACCCGUGAUCCGGGUUGCGGACAGUGUCUGGUGGGUAGUUUGACUGGGGCGGUCUCCUCCUAAAGAGUAACGGAGGAGCACGAAGGUUGGCUAAUCCUGGUCGGACAUCAGGAGGUUAGUGCAAUGGCAUAAGCCAGCUUGACUGCGAGCGUGACGGCGCGAGCAGGUGCGAAAGCAGGUCAUAGUGAUCCGGUGGUUCUGAAUGGAAGGGCCAUCGCUCAACGGAUAAAAGGUACUCCGGGGAUAACAGGCUGAUACCGCCCAAGAGUUCAUAUCGACGGCGGUGUUUGGCACCUCGAUGUCGGCUCAUCACAUCCUGGGGCUGAAGUAGGUCCCAAGGGUAUGGCUGUUCGCCAUUUAAAGUGGUACGCGAGCUGGGUUUAGAACGUCGUGAGACAGUUCGGUCCCUAUCUGCCGUGGGCGCUGGAGAACUGAGGGGGGCUGCUCCUAGUACGAGAGGACCGGAGUGGACGCAUCACUGGUGUUCGGGUUGUCAUGCCAAUGGCACUGCCCGGUAGCUAAAUGCGGAAGAGAUAAGUGCUGAAAGCAUCUAAGCACGAAACUUGCCCCGA